CUUUACAGCUGAGUUGGCCUAUAAAAGUCAAAGUGGCUGUUCUUCAAAGACAGUGGGAUAGAGAGAGCAGAGAGAGGAAAAGGCGAGAAGGGGAAGGAGAAUGUUGGUGUUGGAUGAAGGGACAAGUUUUUUGGAUCCGGCUGCAACCUGGACACCCUGGAGUUGGUGGUGGAAAGACGGAUGGCGGACAAAAUGAGGAGGAUCAUGGACAAUAGCAAACACUUCCUCUAUGCCACACUGGCCAAACAGCGGAGCUUCUUCUCCAAUAGAUUACAGCAGCUUUGCUGUAACAAAGAAAGGCACAAGAAGGAAUUCUUGCUCACUGCUAUCCGACUCUACAAUGAGCCAACAAUGAGGUUGGGGAGCUAUGUGGACACUGAAGACAAUGGACAUGUCUACUGAUUUUGCAUACCCAUCUACUACACGUGAUUUCCAUUCACCCAUCCAUUUUCUGUACCACUUAUCCUACAUGGGAAGCCUGGAGCCUAACAUGGAAAACAGGCUAAAUCUGCGUACACAGGGCGGAAGCGGAAAUCAAACACCCGACCCCGGAGUGCUCGGAUGAAAAUGCCAUGCCACGGCGAUCUGUCCACACAGAGAAGAGAGAGGAAAAGACGUGAGACGUAAAAGAGGUGACAUAAUGACACGUUCACUAGUUUACAAAAAUUCAGAACAAUGAUGGCCCCUACAGCAAAGUGUUUUCCUACCCCAAGACUUGAACUAUUUCUUUUAGAGUGUAUAUUUUAACUGGG
ensembl:lncRNA